rnacentral:rRNA from 1 species
AGAAUCAACGCUGGCGGCGUGCCUAACACAUGCAAGUCGCACGAGAAAGGGGAGCAAUCCCUGAGUACAGUGGCGCACGGGUGAGUAACACGUGAAUCAUCUACCUCCGAGUGGGGAAUAACUGAGAGAAAUCUUAGCUAAUACCGCAUAACACUUACGAGUCAAAGCAGCAAUGCGCUUGGAGAGGAGUUCGCGGCAGAUUAGUUAGUUGGCGGGGUAAUGGCCCACCAAGACGAUGAUCUGUAUCCGGCCUGAGAGGGCGCACGGACACACUGGAACUGAAACACGGUCCAGACUCCUACGGGAGGCAGCAGUGGGGAAUUUUGCGCAAUGGGGGAAACCCUGACGCAGCAACGCCGCGUGGAGGAUGAAGCCCCUUGGGGUGUAAACUCCUUUCGAUCGGGAAGAUAAUGACGGUACCGAUAUAAGAGCCCGGCUAACUUCGCGCCAGUAGCCGC